rnacentral:rRNA from 1 species
AUUGAACGCUGGCGGCAUGCCUUACACAUGCAAGUCGAACGGUAACAGGUCUUCGGCUGCUGACGUGUGGCGAGCGGGUGAGUAAUACAUCGGAACGUGCCCGAUCGUGGGGGAUAACGAGGCGAGAGCUUUGCUAAUACCGCACACGAUCUACGGAUGAAAGCGGGGGGUAUUCUGACCCCUCGCGGACGGAGCGGCCGAUGGCAGAUUAGGUAGUUGGUGGGAUAAAAGCUUACCAAGCCGACGAUCUGUAGCUGGUCUGAGAGGAUGAUCAGCCACACUGGGACUGAGACACGGCCCAGACUCCUACGGGAGGCAGCAGUGGGGAAUUUUGGACAAUGGGCGAAAGCCUGAUCCAGCCAUGCCGCGUGCAGGAUGAAGGCCUUCGGGUUGUAAACUGCUUUUGUACGGAACGAAAAGCCUUUUUCUAAUAAAGAGGGGUCAUGACGGUACCGUAAGAAUAAGCACCGGCUAACUACGUG